rnacentral:rRNA from 1 species
UACGUAGGGUGCAAGCGUUGUCCGGAAUUAUUGGGCGUAAAGAGCUCGUAGGCGGUUUGUUGCGUCGGCUGUGAAAUCCCGAGGCUCAACCUCGGGUCUGCAGUCGAUACGAGCAAACUAGAGUGUUGCAGGGGAGACUGGGAAUUCCGUGGUGAUAGCGGUGAAAUGCGCAGAUAUCAGGAGGAACACCGGUGGCGAAGGCGGGUCUCUGGGCAACAACUGACGCUGAGGAGCGAAAGCGUGGGGAGCAAACAGG